ACCAGGUCCUGCGUGACGGGAAGUGGAGUGGGGAAGAUGCUUCAGUGUUAGUUCCUGGUGACAUAGUAAGCAUCAAACUUGGGGACAUUGUACCUGCUGAUGCACGCCUUCUUGAAGGAGAUCCUCUAAAAAUUGAUCAGAGAAUCACUUCCUGUAACCAAGAUUUGAGAUAUAUAAAUUUCUGAUUUAUGUUCUCUAGAGGUGGAAAAUACUCGGAAGAAGAUGCAAAGGCUGUCGUGGUACAGAUUUUGAGUGUGGUUGCCUACUGUCAUCUCCAAGGUGUAGUUCACCGUGACCUCAAGCCUGAGAGCUAAUGCUUUUUGGACUUGUGUCAUUGGUAAUGGGUCAUUGGAUCAAUCAAGUGAAAGCGUUGUUACAUAAUUUUCCCUCUUGUUGGCUGCAGCCGAGAAUGGUAACAACUGAUCUUCUGUUGUCUGGAGCUUCUACAAAGCAGUAACAUUGUGGAUGUGAACUCAUAUAAUGAGUUGAAAGAUGCAAUUAGUCAGGGGAAAUGGGCAAGGGGUCCACUGCACUUGUAAGGAAGAAAAAGAUGGAGAGGUUCCAUGGGUUCUGCAUCUGUGUACAGCUGAAAGAUUAUCAUCAUUUGGAGAGCUGGCACUAAUGAAUAACAAACCACUCCAGGCCUCUGUCCGUGCUGUGACAAGUGGAACUCUUUGGGCUUUAAAAAGGGAAGAUUUUCGAGGAAUUCUUACGUUAGAAUUUUCAAAUUUAUCAUCAUUGAAGUUACUUCGAUCAGUAGAUCUGCUCUCGAGGUUGACAAUCUUACAGCUGAGUCACAUUGCAGAAUCUCUUUCUGAAGUUUCCUUUUCUGAUGGGCAGAUAAUAGCUGAUCGGGAUGAGGCUUUCUUGGGAUUGUACAUUAUCGAGAAGGGACAAGUUGGAAUUACUGUUGAUUACAUUAGGGAGAAGUAAUUUGAUUCUGACAAUACAAUUGCAGCAAAUAAAAGCUCUUCUUGAGAGUGUUGGGACUUCUUUCUGCCCUGAUUAUUUAGACUGGUUUGGAAAUGGUGCAACUGAUUCACAUUCUAGAAAUGCUGAUCAAUCUGUUCUUUCAAAAUUUUUACAAGCACAUCCUGCUGAUUUUUCUACCACUAAAUUGCAGGUCAGGCCAUACUUUUUGCAGAUUUUUCUGAAGUAUGAAUUUACUUUUCCUAUAAUAGUUUCAUAAUCUGCUUAGAUAAUGUUAUAUCUGUUUCAUAAACUACUUGAUCUUUAUGGCUUUGUAAUGUUAUCUGCUAUUUGGUCUAUUGGUUCUUGAAGUGACUGUCUGUUGAGUUAUAACAAUUUUAUUGAGCUUAUCAGACAUUAUUGUUUAAUAUUGCUUUUAAGAUUUGAUUGAUGUCUAAUAUUUGCAUUUGGUGUUUGUAUAUUUUGUGGUUGUCUUUGGGUAUGAUGCAUCUAAUAUUGUAGAAUUUGUUUCUGACUUAGAAUUCUUCAUUUCCUAUAAUAUUAACCUUAAGUUUUUGUUCAAGCCAAGAAAUGAUUCGUUUGAUGAGAGAGAGGCGUUUUCCUGCUGCUUUUAAGUGUUACCAUAACUUUCACAAAACUGGUUCUGUAUCUAGUGACAACCUGUUCUUCAAAAUGGUCAUCCAUGUCCACAGCGAUUUAGCAUUUCGAUGCUAUCAGAAAGAGAUGAGGAACAAAACAGGAUAGUGGCCUCUAUAUCGAGGGCAUUUAUUUACCCCAACCACCUCAAAGGAAGAUAUUUAACGCUCGACCAUAGCUGAAUGUUGUCUGCCACGUAUUCUCCAUGUCCAUAUGGCUAAUUCUGUAAUCAAAUUACUUCAACAAGGUUGAGCACUUGCUAAGGGAUGUGAAGGAUACAACCAUUAGCACCCUUGCAACAGAGGAUGUCGAGGGUUUAAUUGUGCUCAACAUAGGCAGCUAUAUGGGUGGAGUUAAUCUUUGGCAAAAUGAUUAUGAGCAUGACGAUGAUUUCAAUCUUCAGUCCAUGCAUGACAAAACACUUGAGGUGGUGUGCAUUUCUGGAGCAUGGCACCUUGGCAAACUUCAGUUCAGGGAACAACAGAGAUAAAUGGAAAAAGUGCAUCGGAGACAAAGAUGAAGAGGCUAGAUUACAAGUCAACAAAACUCAGAUUCCCAAUGUAAUUGCAGAGACACAUGACACUGCAUAAAGGGGCAUCCUAUUUUGGUGAACUAGGUUGAUAUGGUAGGAAAAGGAUUUGUAUGUGAAUGUGAUUAUUGUGAAUGAGAAUAUGAAUAUCUUGAGUUGGCUUAAAUGCCCAGAUUCCUAUUUUGGCUCAAAUAGAGGGGCAUCCUAUUUUGGUGACUCCUUAAUGUUGUUCAAAUGAUUUGUGUGUGAAUAUUUUUUUUUUUUGCACAAUGAUUGUGGACUAUCAUUUGAUAAGA